UCUGACUUUUGUCUUUAUGGCUAAAGAAGCAGUGCUGUAUCCCACGGUAGUACAAAGGGCAAAAGAUGAGUGCCAGACAAAUCCUGCCCUGAUUCUGGGGACCAUGCCUGUGGAGAUGCACAGUUCUACCAUUCAAAGUGACUAUCUGAAAAUACCUCCUAAGAAGGACAAAACUUUUCUUCAGCUAAGAGGGCGCUUGUUAAUAUGAUUAGAUACAUAUGUAAUGGUGUCCCCCUCCCCUCUUAGCCCCUCAGUGUGUCCCCCUCCCCUCUUAGCCCCUCAGUUCUUUCAGUCAGUGUAUCUACAUGCAGGAGAUGUUAAAGGAUGGAUGUAACUUCAGACCUUCAUUUCCCCAUAAGUAUUGCUUUCAGAAAAUAUCUAAUGAAGUCACAUGGAUGAAGAUUUCUGUAUCAUUUGUUUCCCAGAAUGGCUCUCCAACUUACAUUUCAUCAUCCACCCACAUAUCCAUUUAUCCAUUCAACCUUCAUGUACUGACUGAAAACUCCUCUCAUGUAGUUUUCCUCAGCAGUUUCCUCUUCUGGGGAUUUUCUGCUGUUUUGGUAACCUGUUUUAAUGUUGUAUUUUAUGUGUUCCUAAAGGCAAUGCAAGUUGUUUAAAGAGGCAAUUAUCUCAUGUGAUUUAUGAGAUUUGCUGGACAAAUUCCAAUAAAAAAUG
rnacentral:antisense_RNA from 1 species